rnacentral:misc_RNA from 1 species
GGAAGGAUCAUUAACACGUUCCAAAACGUUCAUAUCAACACCAAACGGUUCAGUGCAACAGUACUCCCUAACAAGAGGGUCAAGCUGCUCUUCUUCUUCUCCAGUGAUAGGUGGGUCCGCAAGGACUCGCGGAGAGACGUUGGGCUAGGGUCUCGAACCCAAGGCUCCUUUUGUUAGGCUUUUUCCCCCCUUUUCUCUAUCACUAACCAACUAACCACUUUCACCCCUUUAAAACAUUUGACUAAAUCUUUCGAACGAAGAAAUUUGUUUGGAAUUGUAUAUCUAACACUGUACAACUCUUAGCAAUGGAUAUCUUGGUUCUCGCAACGAUGAAGAACGCAGCGAAAUGCGAUAUGUAAUGCGAAUUGCAGAAUUCAGUGAAUCAUCAAAUCUUUGAACGCAAAUGGCGCUUUCGGGAUAGACCUGGAAGCACGCCUCUCUGAGUAUCGGUUCAACCUCAACUCAUUCUGUUGUGUGUAUCACGCAAGUGAUAGAUGCAUCGAGGAUGGAGAAUGAGAGUCUAAGCAGAUAUAUAUACUUGCUUUGUCUCUUGAAAUCUGUUGAGCUCCGAUCUCUCAUACUCGUUCCAGCCGUUCGCGGUUGGAUAGCCUCUUUGGCUUUUCUCUGAGUAGUAGUGACGUGGAUAAGAAUCACUUCUUGUGGUUGCGAAACGUCUGUCUAUUAUUCUUAGAAUGCUAUGUCAAGGAUGGGGAUAGAGCAUGAGACUGAUCGGGUGUGUAGAAUUGAACGAUCCAUGGUAUAUUCGUAUACCUAUGGGUUAUUUUUGACAUUAGAUCUCAGAUGAAGCGAGAAGACCCCCUGAAUUUAAGCAUAUUAAUAAGGGGAGGAAAAGAAACUAACAAGGAUUCCCUUAGUAACGGCGAGUGAAGCGGGAAUAGCUCAACAUGAGAAUCGGUGUCCUAAGCGGGACUUCGAAUUGUAGCCUAGAGACGCGUUAUCAGCGUGUGACCCAGGAAUAAGUCCUUUGGAAGAAGGCAUCAAAGAGGGUGAGAAUCCCGUCCUUGUUCUGGAGUUCGCCGCGUACGAUGCGCGUUCGAAGAGUCGAGUUGUUUGGGAUUGCAGCUCUAAAUGGGUGGUAAGUUUCAUCUAAAGCUAAAUAUGGGCGAGAGACCGAUAGCGAACAAGUACCGUGAGGGAAAGAUGAAAAGAACUUUGAAAAGAGAGUUAAAAAGUACUUGAAAUUGCUAAGAGGGAACCGCUGGCUCCCAGUGCUACCUAUGGGCAUUUUUGCCGUCAGCUGUUUGAGAGUCGUUCUUCCAGUUCGCAAGUCUGGCUGAGCGAUUUCGAGGGCGGGUUGGCGGUACUGUGCUUGUGGGUGAGUCCGGAUCCGUUUGCUUCGCGGGAGAACCCAUGUUGGAAGGUAGGGUGCUUGCAUCUGUUAUAGCCAAUAUGGGAUACCGUGGGGUAGACGGAGGAAUUUGUCAUGGUGCGCCUUUCUGGCUUGGGACCCUGCUCCUGGCUGGGUGAUAUGGUUUGGAUAGCAAUGCUAUGCGGUCGUAUCAUUCGGUUACUGAGUGGGUGCUCUCAUAUGCACCAUCGCGAUCCGGACGAAAUGGGAUCCAUCGACCCGUCUUGAAACACGGACCAAGGAGUCUAACAUAUAUGCGAGUAUUUGGGUGGAAAACCCGUAGAUGCGAAAUGAAAGUAAAGGCAGCUUCGGCUGCUGAGGUAGGAAGCCCGCAAGGGUGGCACUAUCGACCGAUCCUCACUUGUGAAAGAUUUGAGUCAGAGCAUAUCUGUUGGGACCCGAAAGAUGGUGAUCUAUGCCUGAACAGGGUGAAGCCAGGGGAAACUCUGGUGGAAGCUCGUAGCGAUACUGACGUGCAAAUCGUUCGUCUGAUUUGGGUAUAGGGGCGAAAGACUAAUCGAACCAUCUAGUAGCUGGUUCCCUC